UUACAUUUAGGAAAAAUUUUUUCCAUCAUUGAUUGUGUUGGCUUAAGCCUAUGCGGACUGUCCAUUGCACAAGUAACAAUGUUUGGUCCAAGAAUACGGGCAAAUACUACAUUCAGAACAAGAAGAUCAAAGAAGAAAGAUCUCCUGUGGCUUCUGAAAAAAGAAAACUUUUCACUGUUUGCAAUGUGUAGGAUGAGUUUCAGAGAGCUGGGACUACUACAGCCAAUUGGUUACAUGAAAGGAGGCGCUUGAUGAUGAAAUGGACACCCAGAGGAAAGGCCCUGAGACAUGGAUCUCAGUGGACCCAGUUUGAGCCUUCACAGCAAACUAAAGCCAGACUACUCAUGUUCAUUUUAGGUUCUAUCGAGCAACAAAUCCUCCUUUAGUUACCAAGCCAGUUUGAGUUAGAAUUUCUGCAUAAUUAACCAAGCAAAAGAACCCUUAAUGAUGCAAGUGGCUGGAACUGGGAAUCAAAAUAUCACAACAAAUAGUUGAGUCAAAUGGUUUGCCAUUAACCAAUGCACGUCGUGGAGCAAAUCACCUCUAUAGUAGAGAAAAGCUGUCUCCUAAAAAGGAAAGUCUUUCCUUCCUACUUCAAAAAUGUAUUCCGAUGCCUCAGUAGAAGAAGAUGUACAAAACAAAAUAGCUUUUUAAGUAGUAAAUUACUGAACAACUUUAUAAGAGGUAUUAUUGAAAUCUCAGGGUGUGAGUAGAAAUAGGCAUCAUUUUUUCCCUCUUACUACUAAAAAAACGGAGGCACAAAAAAUUAGAUUGUAGAAACUUAAAUUAAUAUAUUUAAAUUGUAACUAUCCAAUAUCGUCAGCCCUCGGUCCAUGCUGGCUUAUUUUAUUUUAAUUUUUAUUAUACGUCAGCGGAAUAGGUUCUCACUUGCUAGUGAAGUGUGGAAUAAUAUUGAAAAUUAUGUUUUAUUAGUGACAGUAAUUUCUGAUUAGUUUUUGUACACACUUUCCCUCUUAAUACUCUUGUGGCCAGGGUUACACUUACAGAUUGUGAUUGCACAGACACGGCCGUCUGUUUCAAUGUUGUCAUAUCUUCAGUCACAGACAGACAUGAUUCCAAGCAGCCGCAUUUCCUUUUUACAAGGAGUAAUUCACAUUUAGGCUGUUUGAAUUACUCUUGGGGUUAGCACAUCAAGAAGGCAUUAUCCCAAGAUUAAACACUGGUAGCUGCUUGCAAAACGCUUGCAAAUACAGAAUAUUUGCUAGAUGGCUGAACAGAUGCAAUUGUGGUAUGCUAGAGAUUUAGGGAACUCUUAGGAGUGGAACAUAUUAAGAGAGGAUACUUUUUUUCUGCCGUCUGCUAGUCUUUGCUCAGAGAUAAGUUUAUUUAUUUCAAAUGGCAUCCUUCUAGAAUCUUUAUUUUACUGUGAACUAAAAUGUUGCCCCUAAUUUUUUUUACCUAUGUCUAGUGUCCUUGUUCAAUCCACUUGCCUACCUUUCAUUCCUGGCACUGAGGAGAUAUUUAUGUUGAUGGGUCUUGGAGGCCCUUAUGAAUAAUGCAAAACAAAGGUAGAACUCAGCCUGUGGAACGCAGGGACAAGUGGUCCAUCCUUAAAUAACUCAUGUAAAGACUAUAAUUGUACUUAUGGGGGACUGGUGUUGAGGCAGGGCUGAUGCCACAGCAGCUCAUUCCUAAAAUCAAGUGACAGAAGCAAGAGGAAAUCAUGACCCCUAAAACCAAAGUCUCACUGACAGUAGUGCAUGUGCUCUUCAAAAAUAAAGAUGAGAUUGUAUGUAUUCUUGUCUUUCAGAGCAAGCAAACUGCCUUUUUAAAAUUGUCUAAAUGAACACAUUGGUGUGUUGAUCAGAUGAGAGCUCAGUUAGAAAUCCAAGACCCUGGGGGCCGGUCGCAGUGACUCAUGUCUGUAAUCCCAGCACUUUGGGAGGCCAAGGUGGGAGGAUCAUGAGGUCAGGAGAUCGAGACCAUCCUGGCUAACACGGUGGAACCCCGUUUCUACUAAAAAAUACAAA